GUCCAUGCCAAUAUAAAUCAUUCAGAAAAGGAGACUUAUUAGGAAAAAAGAGGUGUUAAGAUGGCACUCGACCACAACAAGAUGCGCAUGGCGAUGGUGAGCCUAGCCCUUCUGGGACUCCUCAUCGGCCAACUUGUCACCACCGCUAAUGCCAAGAACGACGACGACUUCAAGACAACCAGUUCUGAAGAUGAGGGUCGCGGCGGCUACGCCGACAUGAAAAUGGCACCGCUAAUGCCAAGAACGACGACGACUUCAAGACAACCAGUUCUGAAGAUGAGGGUCGCGUCGUCUACGCCGACAUGAAAAUGGCCACGACUACCUCGAUCUCUGAUGGACCAGCACAUGCGCCAUCCCCUAGCUCCAGUCACGAUACCAAUAAUUAACUCAUCAUGAAGCAAUAGCAACUAUAUAUAGUAGCAUAUAUUUCUUGUGUGACUUUUCAUUUGUUGGCACAUUUAAGCAUAUCGCGCUAGUUGUGUAAUCGAUUGGUGUGCAUUUAUGUUGGUCUGCCUAUUUUGCUUUCAGAUUUUUUAUUUACUUUAAAAGAUAAACUUUGUCAUGAUUCCUGGAGUUUUAUUAAGAUGGUAAACAUAUUAAUCUAGUAAUGCCAUGUGAAUACUCUGCCUCAUCUGGGAAUUUUCACAGUGCAUGUAAGCCUAUAAUGAACAUGAGCAGUUCAUUUCGUUUCAUCUAGUGGCCCAUGUUUUAAUAUCUACUCACUUAUAGUACAGUACAAGUAGUAGAAGGUGGUGGAGGGGAAAAUUGUAAAAAUACCAUGUGUCACACUAGUAAACUCGCAUGCACUAGCAAUGUUCUUCAUUCAGAUUCAAGUAUUCUCUUUCUCCAGAUCAUUGGGCCAUGCCUGAAGGAUGAAGUCUUGUUGUGUUGUAGCGUCUUCACAUGUCUAAUGAUGGGCUAAUCUAUGCAUGUUCUUCUUCAAUCGGUGGACAGGCAUAAUUUAUGUAUCGCAAAUCUCCUCCUCCUUGUCUAUCGAUCACUGCCAUGCUCAUCAACACGUUGCUCCACCUUGUAGUACUCUGCUACUUGUGUGCAAGGUGGUCCCUGAGACACCAUAUAACAUUUAUCACCUAAAAAUUCAUGAAUUUUGAUCCUCACUUUUCAAGUCUUUAUCUAUGCUCGUGUAACGUGUAUAGUGUUAGCCAUUCUCAAAUGCAG
rnacentral:lncRNA from 1 species